GGUUUCUUUCUAACCCUGAAAUAGUUGUUAUGAAGAACUAUAUGUAGUAUAGCAAUGUGACAUGAGUCUCCUCCUCCUUGCUGCAGAGGUGGCUACAUGGCGUAAAACGGUUUGAUUGCAAGUGGGAACAUCCGACCAAAGACGUGUCCACACUGAGCACUCAGUUACAACGUCUCACCUCUGUGAACAUGGACAAACUUGCUGCUGUUUUGUUCUUCUCGACCCUCGUAGGUAACACCUUGGAAGAUGAUAUUACUGCCAGCACUGCUGAAGUUCUUUCAUCAGAGGGCUUCAGUGUUUUCCUGUCCUGUGACUACUCCAUUAAAGCCAAUAAUCUCCAGUGGUAUCGACAGUAUCCGGGGUCAUCUCCUCAGUUCCUUCUCCUGAUCACUGAUACUACACAGCCGUCAGUGGUGAAAGCACAACCUCCACACCCUGGGAUGACUGCUGAACUGAAUAAGGAAAGAAAUAGAGUCCAUCUGAACAUCUCGUCUGCUGCAGUGUCAGACUCUGCUGUGUACUACUGUGCUGUGACGCCCACAGUGACAGGAAACACCAAAACCCUGUACAAGAACCUUUGGAGCAAAGACAACACUGCACACCAUCCACCAGAGGGAGUCUCGCUCUGAAUAACCUCAGCAGGAUGUGUUGAUAUUGUCUGUAUUAUUUAUAAUGGUGAAAAACACAAAGAUAAUCACAAGGAAAAAGUCUGA